UUUUGGAGCACUCUCCGUCAACAACGAAUGCAUCACUGAGGAUCUUUUGCCUGCUGUGUUCCCUCACAAGUGAGCAGGGGGCCAUGCACGUUCUUCUUCCGGUGUGGAGCAUCAUGCCUGGAGACAGUCCUGAUAUCAGACAUCACAGAAUUGUUCAACCCACUGCAGUAAGAAUUUCCUGAGUGCCUACCCUGAACAGAGAUGGAGAGCAGAUUACAGAAACAAGGAAGACUUCAUCUUUGCCCUGAAAGGGGCCUGCAAGAUCUUUGAGUGCCAGAGUAUUCUAUUCCUUUGGCUUCUUUCCAGUCUUUGGAGCAAGAACUCCGUCAACAUUGGCAAUUUCCUGCAUGCCUCCGAGCUACCUCUGGGAGGCAAAGAUUCCAGAGCCAGAGAAGAAGACCUGCGAACAUAAGAUGUAUCUAGAAACCCCUCCGUGUGAGUCACAUUAGGC
rnacentral:lncRNA from 1 species